UGUUGCCGCGCGGGCUCCGCAGCGCGCGGCCCAACUUGGCGUCCCGGCAAGUCGCGCGGCGGCGCCGGGCAGCUCACCUGGAAAGGGGCGCGGGAAGGCGGGCGAGGGGGCCCGGCCCGGCCCUCCGCGUGCCCGCUCGCCCGUCCGUCUCACACAAAGCAGAGCCCGGAGUGAAAGAGCAGCCGGAAAGGGACGGGCCACUGGCCACCCACCCCGCGGCGCCCCGUGCGCCCCUCGCACCCAGCAUCAGCCCCGCGCGCCAACUUACCUCGCGAAGGGAGCCGCCGCCGCGCCCGCGCGGGCGGCCGCCGAGGGAGCGCCUGGCAUCGCGAGCCUCUGCAGGUCUGGAGGAGUGAGAGGUCUCUUCUGGACAUUAAGAUGUGGAGUUGAAAUGACCGGACAACUUCCUCAAGGACCAAAGAUUGAAUCAAGGUCUCACUGAUACUAAGCCAGAGCUACUGCUAGGACUCCAGACGUCCUCCCUGUGACCGCAAAAGAAGCACAGGAGCUACUUUGGGCUGAGUAGAGCCUCCUGUGUCCUCACACUUCCUCAUCAAGAAGACUUGGGGCAGCUCACUCGGCUUCCCAGGUGUAUGGAUUUUAGGGCAGGACUGUCCCUACGGUAAGAAAACACUCAGAUUAUAGUCGUGAAAAAAAAAUCAUUCUCCAAAAUAAUUGAUCUGUGUGAGUGUGCUUAUCAAGAGCAAAAAGGAGAGAAUGUGACGUUUCUGAAACUACAGGCUUAUUGUUGGGAGGAUCAACCAGAGUUGUCACUGAGAGAACUAGUACCCCUCAGUAAACGGCCAAAUCUCUACCUGGCCCAUUGCAUUCCUCCACUCCUGUAGAAGGUCCCAUCUCCUUCUUCACUAACGAGAAAGGGGCCAUUCAAUAGCUGCUCUGUCCAAAGAGGGGACCGUUAGUCAUGUGUGGCUGUUUACAUUAAUUAACAUAAAAUGUUACAAAUCAGUUCCUCGGGGAUGUUAGCCACAUUUCAGAUGCUCAGAAGCCACCAUGUAGCCAGUGGCUACCAUGUGGGGAAGUGCAAAUAGAGGACAUGGAUAUCACCACAGAAAAUUCUACUGCACAGUGCUGCCAGAGAACCAAGGUAAUCCUAGCUCCGGAGAGCUCCAAGUCCAUGGGAAAAGAAAAACUGAGGGCUGGAGGAAUGUAUCCACCACAAGGAGAGCCCCAACGCACACUUGUCGGAGAAGGCCACUAAUCCUGGGCUCUGGGCAGGGAUUUGCCUCUGGAAAUCUGUGGUCUCUCAUCAGGCUUCCCGCUUCUCCAUCUAUCCCGAGCCAUCAGCUUCGUUGUAUUUUAUUUUUGUAUUACAGUUUGCAUUCAACACUAUUUCGUAUUAGUUUCAGAUGUACAUCCCAGCAGAUAGACAUUCAUAUACUUUGCAUAGUGUUCCCUCUAAUAACUCAAGUGCCCACCUGGCACCCUAGAUAGUCACCACAACAUCGUUGACUAUAUUUCCUGUGCUUUCUCUUAUAUCCCUGUGCCUCUUUUGAAACUACCAACUAGUACUUCUCAAUCCCUUCAUCUUUCAACCUCAUUUUAAAUAAUCACGUCACUCUCCAGACCAGACCUCUCCUUGUCUGCUGUCCCGAACCCACUGAGCCUUCCCUGUCCUGGAACAACACAUGUCUUACCCCUCUCUCUGCUUCAAACCAUUCCAUCUCUAUACUCAGGCUGGUUGCUGUCUCUCCGGUAUCAUAGUAUGUGAUUUCCCUCCUUCUCAAUGGCACCCCUCCCCCAACUUCUCCAUCAACAUGUGUUCCAGAUUCUAUGUCCCUUCACCUCCCUAGAGAACUUGCUUUGCUCAUUAUUCUCUCUCUCCAUCAUAUUCCAUCUUUCUCUCCACCAGCACUGUCUUCAGCCUUCAGGUAUGCACAGCUUGCCCAACGAUAUUAACAACUUUAAUUGACCCUUUAGGGGCCACCAUCCCAUCUUCUCCUUCACUUCCCUACCAGUUGCCUUUGGGGAGCUGUCUGCAGAAAGGCUCUACAUCCUCAUUCCCCACAUAGGUCCUGGCUCUCAUCCAAACCAGUUGCUUCCCAUAUAAUAAAACUUGUUCUGGAUAAGGCAUUCAGGUCUCUCCACAGUCAGUUUCUGACCUAACUUCUUACCCAUCUUUCUCUUUGUCAUCUAACCACACAUCUCUUCACCAGCCACCACACAUGUCUAAAACAUUCCUGUGCCUGCAUCUUUAUUAAUACCAUUUCUUUUGCCAGAAAUACUUGCUCCAUGCACAUCCCCUGCAUCUUUGGGGGCUGAGCUCAAGUGGCUCCUUCUCGAUGAAGUCUUUCUGGUAAUGAAAGCCCAUUGUAUUUCUCUGACUCCCACACUGAGCACAGACCACCUGGGGCUAUUAUGUAUUGUGUAUGGAUAGUUACCUUCUCUCCCUAGCUGAAUUUCAGGGUGCUUCCUGGGAAGGAAUGAGCAUGCAUAUCUUUGCACUCCUAAGAGCUCUUAGAUGCAGAAUCUUGUGCACAGUGGAUAUUCAAAUAUUGGUGGAUUGACUCAUUCACUGAUGUAUCCCAUCAUCACUUAUGGAGGGGCCAGGAAUAAACCAGGCAGUACUCUUUUAAAUAAGCCUCCUGGAAAGAAUAUUCUGAAAUGGAGACUGUCACAGCUAUUUGCUAUGUAAAUGACCUGAGGAUGAAGGUGGCACAUUAAAUCGUAAUAUACCUCUUUGGAAGAUCCUGGAGCUAUUGGUUUGAACAGGUGCCGGAAACUAGGAAAAGCUGCAGAGCUGGCAAGCGUUGUUGUCAUUGUUGGUACAUUUUAGUGGUUAAAAAAAAGUUGUGGUGUGUGUGUGUGUGUGUGUGUUUGUGUGUGUGUGUUCCUGCUUGGGCCAGGGAGUGGAGUUGGUACAGGGAGAAAAGAUACAGGCUUUGGAGGCAGGCAAACCUUGUCCUGGACCUCAGCCUCAUUGUUGACUUGAUGUAUGAAAGCGGGUAAGUGAUCUCUCUUUACACUGUAGAAGAACAUUAUUGACCUAAGGAAAGGUUUAUGAUAAAGAUCUAAACAACAGGAUAUCAUAUUUAUAAUUUGUUUUUAGAAAGAGUAUGUGAAUAUACAUGUAUGCACAGAACAAGGACCAGGAAGCUAAAUGCCAGAAUGCUAUAGAUAUUUCCUUUGGCUUUUUCUGUGCUUCUCAAGUUUUAAGGUACAGUGACUUUUUAAAAGAAGGUCUGUUAAAAUAAUGUGGGUUAAGGAAUUGUAAUAUCAAAACCCCUAAGCAUCUGUGUUUUUAAGUAGUUUAAAUUAUUUCUUUGGGUUUAAAGCUCUGUGUGUUUUUCUUUCAACAUCUGAGAUAUUCAGAAAAAAUGAGAGGAAGUUGAGACACGAUACCCUAUCACUCCCAAAUUUUUAUUGUGUCUUUCCUUCAAAUAAGAAAAUUCCAGUAUACAUGCCUACCUUGGAGAAAUUGCAGGUUUGGUUCCAGACCUCCUCAAUAAAGCAAGUGUUGCAACAGA